UUUUUUUUUUUCUGUUGUGAAAGAUACUGUCUCAUUUCAUGGAAGUGUAAAGCCUCACCCUAAGACUAUGGGUGCCAUAUAACUGUACCCAGGAGUACUGAAAGCUCAUGUUAAUAUUGUUAAGAGUAUUUAGGCUUCAACUUCUGCUAUGAGAAAAGGAAUUUUCUCUAGAUUUUAAAAAAGAUACCCAAAUGGUUUACUGUUUUGCUUCGUUUAUUUCAAUCUAGUUAAGUAUAAAAAUCAAGGGUCUACUGAUUCGACUGUUGAAAAUGUUCAAUUGGUAGUUGACAUAAAGAACCAAAUUGUCAUUUUGCUAUAAGAGUAACCAAAAUUUUGUACUACUGUACAAAAUUUAAAAAGUAUCAUGUGAACAGUAAUUGGAAAAAUUAUGUUGUUUUGAGAUAGACUUUGUGAAAUUUAGGACUUCCCUGAAGUUUAAACAAAUUGGUUUACUAAAAUCUAAGGAUUAAGGAAAUAGUAUUGUAAUUUGUAAAUAAAUAAAUAACCAAAGAAUCUCUUUGAAAGUUGAACUUAACAGAUGAACUUAACCAAAAUACAAAUAUAAAGUUACCGGUACCAGGAAAAGGUGGAGAGGGAGGAUGAAGGAAAUGGGGGUGGGGAGCACUAAAAUUCCGAAAGGGGAGGUAGAGAACUCUGAAUUCAUACUUCCUGUGUCUCGUUUGUGCUCCUAUCCGUCCUCUGCGUUUUCUAGAGCAGUGAGAGAAAUAGAGAAAUUAACAAGCUAGCCUACUAAUUGGGAUGGUGCUGACCUCAUGGAACACACUGUGGCAUAAACAUUGUGGGGUUAUUCACUCUGUUUUAAUCCAAACUGCCCAAACUUUAAUGAAUGGGACAGAAAGAUGCCCUAAGGCCUCUAAAGAAUGAUGAGUGCAGCAUACUGUAUAAUUCCUAAUAACCACAAGAUUUAUCAAGGAUUUAUAGUGAUAGAAUUGAAGGCCGAAUAUAGAUUUUUUUUAAUUAAUUAAAAUAUAGAGUAAAAUAGUUUGUAGUUUUGAUUUGUAAGCAUAAGGUCUCAUACUUGACAUUAUAGCAUGCCUCAUUCUAAGCAACUUUGUUAGUUCCUUAUUUGGUAGACAAGUCAGUAACUGUUGAAGUGUUGCAAAAUGUUUAGUGAAUAUUAUAUAAACACAUGAUCCAUCUAAGUGAGUCUCUCUUCCCCUUUUUCUCUAAUAAUGAAACAAGUUGUUUAGAUAGUGGGUGUUCUUGAACAUACCCUAACCAUAAACGUGAGGAGGUCCUGCCGCUUCUCACAUAGUUUAUAGCUUAACGAGACUCAUACCUUCAAUAGUUAUGAAGUAAACUAUUGAAGAUUUGAAUAUAUUCACUCCCAUAGAGCUGUUUUCAAUAACAACUCUUUUAAGACCAAGUUACCCUUUUCUGUUCAUACUAGAGUUUAGUACCAGGAAACAAACCAGAUCAUGAACAGGAAUAAUUAUGGCAUUUAGACAUUUAUUGUUCACACAUAGUGAUACCAACACAAAUAUAAAUAGGGCGUUUGAGCCAGAUUGACAUUCUUAAAUCUAAGCCUCGUAGUGGGUUCAAGAGGUUUCUUUUAAUAUUUCUGUAUAUUGAUCAUAGUUAGGAAUUCAUAGAAGCCAGUCAGAGGAAGGAAGGUGUUAAAAAAAAUCAACAGACUAGUCACCAGCAAUUUGUUACUAUAGUAACUGGUAUAGGGACCAGCUAGAUGGUUCAUCAGUGAAAAGGCACUUGUCACACAAGCCUGGCAACCUGCAUUCAACCCUGGGACCCACAUAAAAGGUGGGGUGGGAGAACUGACUAUGCAGAGCUGCCCCGAGCUACAUGCACACACACAUACAAAAUAACAACAAAUAAAUAUUUUUAAAUACUGUUGUAAUAAUCUCAAGGUAGGACAGACACAUCAGUCCUAUCUUGUUUUUAACUAGUGGUGCCUACACCAGACACCAGGUGUAGAGUGUAUUUUUCACUUGCACUGCCUCUAAGUUUCACUGCAGAACUGUUGCUUUUUAAUACUGAACUGUAACCCUUUCUUAAAGCUCAGAUUCAUUUUCAACUUAAUACAUGAGUUGAUAUGUCAGAUGAAAUUCUUUGCACAGACGCUCCUCCUGUCAGUAUUGUUGAUCUUAGCAGAAUAAACUUUGGAAAGAUGGGGGGACCUUUGAAGGUAACAUAUAUAAACAUGCUUCUGGAGGUAACAUAUAUGAACAUGCUUCUGGAGCAUGCGUAAGCCUAGAAGCUUGCCUUGAGUCUAGCAUGCCAAUUGUCGGGGAACUAUCUAUCUCAGUGUGUUAGUGUUUGCAGUUCUGAUAUAUACUAUCUCUGUAGGUUUGUGGUGUUAGGUCAUCAGAGUCUCUGGAAUUUAUUGCUAAGUUGUAAGUAUAACUUAGCCGUUAAUUGAUGGAGUAUUUGGUCACAUAUAUUCUGUAACACUAUCUCAAAAGUUGACUAUUUUACCCCCAAACCCUUCUCCCGACAAAAAUUAUAAAUGGUGGUUGUUUUUGAACCAAAAAAAAUCUAAAUAAAGGUUGUUUUAUAAGUCGUAAUUAAUCUGAAUUUUACAUUUACUUCUUACUGAUGUGCUGAAACCUCUCACUGAAAUGUACACUGUGCUUUAACGUCUCAGAACCUUCCUAUCGGGUUAUUAGCAAGCUAACUUCGUGUACAAACCUUUAGCUUUAGAUUACAUAAUGCUCAAAUUCAUGGUAUCUAUACUAUCAUUUAAUCUUCUGGGUAGAUGAAUGGCUCAGACUUUCAUAGACCAACAGAAUGAAGAUGUAGUUCAUUGUAAAGUACAAGUUUUAACAGUCUUUUAAAGUGAGGUAAAUUAUUUGUCAUGGGGAUUUGCUUCUAGCCUCUAGGAAACGGCAUAAAAAAGAUGACGAUAAAGCUUGGGAAUACGAAGAGCGCGACAGAAGAAGCUCUGGGGAUCAUAGGAGAAGUGGCCACUCCCAUGACGGAAGGAGGAGCUCGGGUGGUGGUCGUUACCGAAACCGAAGUCCGUCCGAUUCUGACAUGGAAGAUUACUCCCCUCCUCCCAGCCUUAGUGAGGGUAAUGCAUCAGUUCCAGUGGGUCGAAAACCAAUUUCUGUUUCCUCUUCUCACUUUGAAGAACAUUUUCCUGUGGUAUCAUUCUUGAGUUUCAAUGUUUCUUUUUGGUUUUUUUUUUUUUAGUUGCUAGAAAAAUGAAGAAAAAAGAAAAACAAAAGAAAAGGAAAGCUUACGAGCCAAAGCUAACGCCCGAAGGUAACAUCUCCGCUGUGCUGUAUGUGCUUCAGCUUUACUUACUGCUGAGAAUGGGAGCAUCAUUUUUUUCUCUCUCUUGCAGAAAUGAUGGAUUCUUCAACUUUUAAGAGAUUUACAGCCUCAAUAGAGAAUAUUUUGGAUAAUUUAGAAGAUAUGGAUUUUACUGCAUUUGGUAAAACCAUUUUACAGGAUUUUUUUACUUAUUCCUUUAUGUCUAGUUUUUUUCCAAGAUUCUAUAGAAAAUACAGUCAUAAUGUAUACUAUCAAGAAACUUGAAGUCUAGUGUGAGUUCAUGUUAUCCAACUGAAACUUUUGCAAACACAAGCUCCAAGUUGGUAGCUGUCUUAGGUUCUGAGAACACUGCCACCACAGCAGGGCAACACCAGGAAAUACUUCUCCAUGUAGUUCUUGCAUAUCCCCCAAAUAGUGAGAAACUUGCAGACAUCGGAAUCAGUUCAUCAGUUCAUUCAUACACUAUUCAACUAUAUAAGGAUAUCAGGUGCAAACAUACAUACAACCUGAGCCCCUGAUAGAAGAACAAAUAGUACAGUAUAUAAAAUAAAAUAGACCACCAGCUAAAAUGCAGGAUACUGAAUGAUAUAUUUGUAUAGUUUGAUAUGAUGUAAUUAUAUCUGAGUAUAGCAGCAUGUGUUAAAAAAAAUUGUUUAGAAUGUUUGAUUGAGCCAGGUGUGGUGGCACAUGCCUUUAAUCUCAGCACUCUGAGGCAGGCAGAUCUCUGAGGUGGUGGCCAACCUAGUCUACAAAGCAAGUUCCAAGAGUGCUAGGGCUACACAGAGAAACUCUGUCUAGAAAAAAACUAAAG
rnacentral:lncRNA from 1 species